GUUGGGGUCCCGCCGUCCUGAGGCUCGAGCUCUUGCGGGUCGAUCGGUCGGCGGGGCCUGCGCGGGGCCCGGGCCCAUGGCGGCGUCGGCGGCUCUGUCUGCGGCGGCGGCGGCGGCAGCCCUGUCUGGCUUGGCGGUUCGGCUGUCGCGCUCGGCGGCGGCCCGAGGCUCAUACGGCGCCUUCUGCAAGGGGCUCACGCGCACGCUGCUCACCUUCUUCGACCUGGCCUGGCGGCUGCGCAUGAACUUCCCCUACUUCUACAUCGUGGCCUCGGUGAUGCUCAACGUCCGCCUGCAAGUGCGGAUCGAGUGAGCGCCGGCGGCGGCGGCGGCCGCGGAGGCCCGGCUGGAGGGGCGACAGUGUCCCCGCCCGCCCCCGGCCGGGUCGCGGGCAUGAAGGACAGCUGGAUCGCGGCGGGGGGCGGAGGUGGGGCGGCCCGGGCCCCUGGACUCUAGACCUACGCCGCCCGGGCACGAAGGCCCAGCCCUGGCCCUGGCCGCGGUCUCAGCCCGGGACCCCGGAUCGCGCAGAAAUGCACUGAACAGGCCCCUACAAUUGGGCUCCAGAAACUACCUGAGCUCGGACUACCUGUUGCCUCACAUUGGCAAAAGAGGGGGAAACCAGAAGGAGGGAAUUCUGCUGCGGCGACUUGACUUUCCCCGCCCCGAGCAGAAAGGCAUUGACGUUUGUAGGCGGUGACCCGCCCCUUCUCUGGCCUUGCCAAGAGUCUCAUCCCUACCCUGGGGCACCUCUGACCCUGGACCUGCUUGGGCAGAGGCAGCGUGAAGGGCCUGAACAAGAGGAGAAGAAGGGCCUUCCUAGUAGAGGCACAGCAUGGACAAAGGCUCACAGGGCUCGACCCCCCCGCCAUCCCCAGGAUCACACAGGAGAAUCUCAUCCUCACGGCUUGGAUUGGUCCUGGGGGCCCCCGGUUGUGCUGCUAACUGGUGUACAAUGCUCAAGAGCAGCCCAGAGGGGAGCCAGGAAGGGACCCUCGCCCUCACCUGCUAUCCCCAUUUCCGCAUCUCUUGCACUGGUACCCUGAGGGCCACAUUCUCAGUUCCUGGGAUUGAAAACUGCAGCAGUCUGGCCAGCUCCAGGGACAGAGUGAUCCAACCACCUACCACGUACCCUCCUCAGCAGGCCACUGGACCCAGGUCCUGAAUGAAGCUGUCCGCCUGCCUCACCCCAGAAGAGGCUGGACAGUGGCUGCCUCGUGCCCCCUGCAGUCUCCCACAGCCAGGGCCCGAUGGGGUGCCUCCUUGUCCCAAGUCUCCUGAGAACCCCUGACCUUGCUGGCCUCUCUCAUCCGCCCCAACCCUGUCCACCCUUGACCACCUCUGGGGGCCUGUCAGCCUGCUGGUCCCCCCAACAGAUCUCUGGGGGCAGCCUCUGUGGGACAAGAGUGAUACAGAGCUGGAGGAGAAGAGGAGUGAGGGGCCUCCUUGUGUCUGAUGCACAGAUGUGGCCCUUUCAAACCCUGGUGUCACCCUCUGGGUGACUGGAUCCCUAGCUCCAGCCUCUUCCUGGGCCAGCCAGGAAGGGUGGAGGAAAGUUCUUUGCUGAUUGCAUGUGUGAUACAGUGGGGGGUGCCUGAGCCCUCCCCAUGCAAGGGGCUCAUCCUGGGACUCUGGAAGCUGCUUCCCUACUGGGAGAAAUGUGUGUCGGAGCUGCAGGGGUCCCUACCCUCAGAGACCCCCGACUGCAGGGAACCCACCCCAUAAGAGGGUCACGGAUGUCCAUGUCCGCCCACCCCCCGUGGCUUCUGCUGUGGCUAUAUUGGCCUAGAGGGGCUGACUGGGGAGGAGCAGGGCUAAGCCCUCAGCAUUUGCUCCUGUCCCUGCCUUUUCACCCCUGCUGCCUGAAGUGGUAGCCCCGCCUGCUGCUUCUCUACCUCCCCUCCCCACCUCUUCUCUCCCCUACAGGGCCCUUGCUGCGUGAUGGGGUCUCCAUGCACUUUAUUUAUUUGCAGUCUGUUUUCUAGGCGGUGGAGCUUCUAGACACCGACCGGAAUGACAUACGUUUCUGUGUGUGAUUCACUGUGUACUGGUCAGCACAGGCUGGCCAGAGAGAUGUUCUUGUUUCUGGUGUUGUCACGUCUUCUUGUUUUCUCUAAGUUUAAAAAAAAAAAAAAGUCCUUGGUUUAAUACACUAAAAUCCCAACUGGAGGCCUUCCGUGUCUGGUGGGGGUGAUGCAAUGGCCCCAGGUGGAGAGAGGCCCCAUGGUGAGGUCACCGGCUCCCAUGGCAAGGUCACCGGCUCCCAUGGCCAGGAGCUGGCAGGGAAAAGCCUCUGAGGAGUAGGGCUGGGGGAGGCUGUGGCAGGGACCGUGUUUCCUGUUCAGAGGCUGUGCUGAGAACCGACUUGACCCAGACCACUGCCCCAUGAGAAGCAGGCAGCAGCCUGGCCUGGCCCUGAGAGGUGGCUGCUUGUCCUGUUGACAGUCUCUGUUCAAAUGACCCAAAACAUAAGUCCUCUUCCGUUUUAGAGUCUGGUGAUCAAAAGUGCCUAAGUCAGUAGAAUCCUGAGGGUGGACUAGGGUGAAGUGAACUGAAACAGACUCCACGCAGGUCAUUUCGUGUAGCGCUGAGACCCUUCUCCCUGCCUGAGGUCACCUCCCACUGCCUCCCUACCAGCCAGGUUACUGCAGAACCCUGGAGAAGAUAAAGGACCUGGCCCUAGAAGCCUCCUUCCCUUCCCCAGCCUUGGAGGCAAACUCUGUCCCAUCAGAGUCCCCCUCCUUAGUGGCUCCCACAGGAGAGAGCUCCCUAAUGGCUGCUGUAAGGGUUGGCAAGCAGGCAAAAGGUGGGAGAGGGAAGGCCGAGGGGAGUGUUAGAGGAAGAUGCCUAGGUGAGAGGCAUCCUGAGGACACAGGGCUAUGCUCAGACUCAGGAGUGCAGUCUGAGUUUAGGGGCCCUGGGGGCACUCCUGUUGCCAAGGGCUACCCAGGGGUCACAGCACCCUGAUAAGAACCCCUCCAAAAGCACUAGUGCCAACAUCCUAUGGCAUCUGCCACCACAGGAGAAAUGGACCCCAGUCCCUGAGCUUCCCUCCCCUUUGUCUAGAUGGUCCUCUUCAGUCCCUGAUGGUCCCAUCCCCACUCCAGGGAUCACGUGACUUGGCAAACCAAGAUGGGGGAUGAUACCCCCAGAGCCUGGCUCCAAGGCCUCCUGAAGAGGCCCAUCCUUGCAACAGAGGAAGGGAAGGCAGGAAGGCCGGUUCUGCUCAAAUGGGACCCCAGGAGACCAAAGCCCUGAGCCGUGAAUCCAGCUCUUCCACUUACUACUGUAUGGUGCCAGGCAAACUGCACAACCUGGAGUUUUUAGUAAGGUUCCUUUGGGAUGCUUGUCAGCAGCGAAUACAAUGUCUGUUCAACGUUUGUCAUCAGCUCUCACCUGGAGAAGCCUUGUUACUGUGGGGAAAGGGAACCAAGUGAAGGGAACGGACAUCCGAUGAGAGCCUGCCAUGUGCCAGGCACCAUUCUAGGUGCUUUGCAUUCCUAAUCUCAUCAUAAUCCCACAACCACCUAACCUUUAUCUCCAUUUUACAGAGAAAUCAAGGACAGGAACCAAGUCUGAAAUAGAACCCCAAGCAGAAUCUCUUUUCCUGAGCUCCCAGUGCCCCUGGAGAGGCAGGGAAUUGGGCUGGAGUAAUGGUGGAAUGGAAUAGCAAAGGUGGAAGAUGACCCUGUUCUUUCUGGGUGGGGUCCAGGAGGCAGAUAAGAAAUCCAGGUGUGCCUGGGUGCGGUGGCUCAUGCCUGUAAUCCCAGCACUUUGGGAGGCCAAGGCGGGCGGAUCACAAGGUCAGGAGUUCAAGACCAGCCUGACCAACAUGGUGAAACCCCGUCUCUACUAAAAAUACAAAAAUUAGCUGGACGUGGUGGCGCAUGCCUAUAGUCCCAGCUACUUGGUUGGCUGAGGCAGGAGAAUCGCUUGAACCUGGGAGGCAGAGGUUGCAGUGAGCCAAGAUCUGGGCAACACAGUCAGACUCCGUCUGAAAAAAAAAAAAAAAAGAAAAAGAAAAGAAAAAUCCAGGGCUUGGAUGGGGGACAGACCUGGGAGCCCUCUCCAAAUGGAGCUCCCCAGUGGGCGCAGCUGGGGCCACCCUGAGAUGGGUUCACCUGUCUUUUCUCCAUCCUCCCUCCAGAGAUUGAUUGGGACCUAAGAGAUUGAGUCAGGAGAGGGCAAGAGAGCAGCUAAGCAGGCAGUUCCGGGGGCACCAGAGCAAAUACAUUAAGAAGUGGGAAAUAUAAAGAGCAUGCAAAACCUCAUCCUACUCCUGUUCACCCACCCACAAGGGAAACUGCUGCGUUUGGACAAAUUUCUACUUUGUGUUGGUGGAGGGAAGGAGAAAGAACAUACUACUUUGAAAACUUCUCCUCCCACUUCAUCUUUAUCUUUCCAUGUUAUUAGGUAUUUUUCUAUAUCCAAAGCCACCUAGUAGUCUCUUGUGUGAAGGUAUCAUGCAUUUCUCAUGCCUCUUGGUUGUUUCCCUUUAUUGUUUAUUUGGGGAGUUUGGUUUCUUGGUUGUUUGGUUUUUUUCUGUGGUUUUGUUUUUAUAAACAUUCCAGUAACAGAUAAGUUGGACCUCAUCAAAAUUA
rnacentral:lncRNA from 1 species